rnacentral:rRNA from 1 species
GGGGAAUAUUGGGCAAUGGGGGAAACCCUGACCCAGCAACGCCGCGUGAAGGAAGAAGGCCUUCGGGUUGUAAACUUCUUUUACCAGGGACGAAGGACGUGACGGUACCUGGAGAAAAAGCAACGGCUAACUACGUGCCAGCAGCCGCGGUAAUACGUAGGUUGCAAGCGUUGUCCGGAUUUACUGGGUGUAAAGGGCGUGUAGGCGGAGAUGCAAGUCGGGAGUGAAAUCCAUGGGCUUAACCCAUGAACUGCUUUCGAAACUGUAUCUCUUGAGUGUCGGAGAGGUAGAUGGAAUUCCUAGUGUAGCGGUGAAAUGCGUAGAUAUUAGGAGGAACACCAGUGGCGAAGGCGAUCUACUGGACGAUAACUGACGCUGAGGCGCGAAAGCGUGGGGAGCAAACAGGAUUAGAUACCCUGGUAGU